AGAUUGAACGCUGGCGGCAGGCCUAACACAUGCAAGUCGAGCGGUAGAGAGGUGCUUGCACCUCUUGAGAGCGGCGGACGGGUGAGUAAUGCCUAGGAAUCUGCCUAGUGGUGGGGGAUAACGUUCGGAAACGGACGCUAAUACCGCAUACGUCCUACGGGAGAAAGCGGGGGACCUUCGGGCCUCGCGCCAUUAGAUGAGCCUAGGUCGGAUUAGCUAGUUGGUGAGGUAAUGGCUCACCAAGGCGACGAUCCGUAACUGGUCUGAGAGGAUGAUCAGUCACACUGGAACUGAGACACGGUCCAGACCUCCGUACGGGAGGCAGCGA
rnacentral:rRNA from 1 species